GGAUCAGUACGUUGGUCGUGCUUUCGGGUAUGUACUGGUGUUACUGAUUCCUCCCUUCUGACGAACUAUCAUGCCAUUUACUUGGUGUGGUGGGAAAUCAGGACUGUUACUUUGAAAAAAUUAGAGUGUUUAAAGCAGGCUAAUGCUUGAAUACAUUAGCAUGGAAUAAUGAAAUAGGACGUUGAUCUUAUUUUGUUGGUUUCUAGGAUUAACGUAAUGAUUAAUAGGGAUAGUUGGGGGCAUUAGUAUUCAAUUGUCAGAGGUGAAAUUCUUGGAUUUAUUGAAGACUUACUACUGCGAAAGCAUUUGCCAAGGAUGUUUUCAUUAAUCAAGAACGAAAGUUAGGGGAUCGAAGACGAUCAGAUACCGUCGUAGUCUUAACCAUAAACUAUGCCGACUAGGGAUCGGAUGAUGUUAAUUUUUUUAAUGACUCACUCGGCGUCUUACGGGAAACCAAAGUGUUUGGGUUCCGGGGGGAGUAUGGUCGCAAGGCUGAAACUUAAAGGAAUUGACGGAAGGGCACCACCAGGGGUGGAGCCUGCGGCUUAAUUUGACUCAACACGGGAAAACUCACCAGGUCCAGACAUAGUUAGGAUUGACAGAUUGAUAGC
rnacentral:rRNA from 1 species